AUUGAACGCUGGCGGCAUGCCUUACACAUGCAAGUCGAACGGUAACAGGUCUUCGGAUGCUGACGAGUGGCGAACGGGUGAGUAAUACAUCGGAACGUGCCCGAUCGUGGGGGAUAACGAAGCGAAAGCUUUGCUAAUACCGCAUAAGAUCUACGGAUGAAAGCCGGGGACCGCAAGGCCUUGCGCGAACGGAGCGGCCGAUGGCAGAUUAGGUAGUUGGUGGGAUAAAAGCUUACCAAGCCGACGAUCUGUAGCUGGUCUGAGAGGACGACCAGCCACACUGGGACUGAGACACGGCCCAGACGCCUACGGGAGGCAGCAGUGGGGAAUUUUGGACAAUGGGCGAAAGCCUGAUCCAGCCAUGCCGCGUGCAGGAUGAAGGCCUUCGGGUUGUAAACUGCUUUUGUACGGAACGAAAAGACUCUGGUUAAUACCUGGGGUCCAUGACGGUACCGUAAGAAUAAGCACCGGCUAACUACGUG
rnacentral:rRNA from 1 species